rnacentral:rRNA from 1 species
AGUGAACGCUGGCGGUAUGCCUAACACAUGCCAGUCGAACGGCAGCACAGUAAUGGCUUGCUCUGACGGGUGGCGAGUGGCGUAAGGGGGGGGAAAACAGCCGAAGCUACUUUUUCGUGGGGGGGAAACUAGGGAAAAUUACGCUAAGACAGCAUACGACCUACGGGUGAAAGCAGAGGAUCUUCCGACCUUGCGCGGAUGCGUGACCCGGUGGCGGAUUAGCGAGUUGGUGGGUUACAGGCCCACCGAGGCGACGAUCCGUAGCUGGUCUGAGAGGAUGAACAGGCACACUGGAACUGAGCGACGGCACAGACUCCGACGGGAGGCAGCAGUUGGGACUAUUGGACAAUGGGCGCAAGCUUGCUCCAGCCAUGCCGCGUGGGUGCAGCAGGCCUUCGGGUUGUAAAGCCCUUUUGUUGGGGUAGAAAAGUAGCAGGUUAAUACCCCGCUGUUCUGACGGUACCCAAAGAAUAAGCACCGGCUAACUUCGUG